rnacentral:rRNA from 1 species
GAUGAACGCUGGCGGCGUGCCUAAUACAUGCAAGUCGAGCGAACAGACGAGGAGCUUGCUCCUCUGACGUUAGCGGCGGACGGGUGAGUAACACGUGGAUAACCUACCUAUAAGACUGGGAUAACUUCGGGAAACCGGAGCUAAUACCGGAUAAUAUAUUGAACCGCAUGGUUCAAUAGUGAAAGACGGUUUUGCUGUCACUUAUAGAUGGAUCCGCGCCGCAUUAGCUAGUUGGUAAGGUAACGGCUUACCAAGGCAACGAUGCGUAGCCGACCUGAGGGGGAGAUCGGCCACCCUGGAAGUGAGGCACGGUCCAGACUCCUACGGGAGGCAGCAGUAGGGAAUCUUCCGCGAUGGGCGAGAGCCUGACGGAGCAACGCCGCGUGAGUGAUGAAGGUCUUCGGAUCGUAAAACUCUGUUAUUAGGGAAGAACAAAUGUGUAAGUAACUAUGCACGUCUUGACGGUACCUAAUCAGAAAGCCACGGCUAACUACGUG